GACGGGGGGGGCAAGUGUUCUUCGGAAUUACUGGGCUUAAAGGGUGCGUAGGCGGCGCGGAAAGUUGGGUGUGAAAUCCCUCGGCUCAACCGAGGAACUGCGCCCAAUACUACCGUGCUUGAGGGAGAUAGAGGUGAGCGGAACUUAGGGUGGAGCGGUGAAAUGCGUUGAUAUCCUAAGGAACACCGGUGGCGAAAGCGGCUCACUGGAUCUCUUCUGACGCUGAGGCACGAAAGCUAGGGUAGCGAACGGG
rnacentral:rRNA from 1 species